CUCAUCAUAGAGAUCUGGUUGCCUACAAUGUGUAAGAUAUGAAUUAGAUGCUGUUGGUUAUUAACCUUGCUAAUAUCAGAAUAGAGGCCUAGACCACUUUUCUCACCGCCAUGAUGGUCGACCUCCCUCACUAGUACUCCUUGCACAGUGGAGGGAAUUCAUUUACUAAGCGCAGCUCAGCAGUCAUAAUAUGCAUAAUGAGGCCAGGCAAGCCAGAUAUCAAAAAGUGAAAAGUCAACAUUCAACAUUGAACCAUCAUUUUCAGAACCAAGCAAUUGGAUGUUGAUAGCUGAACUCAGAGCACAAAGGUGCAAGUAUUUCUUACCUUCCAAGCAUUUUCAAGACUCUGAUCUGUGUUAUCUGUAUUAACCUUCAUAGCCAAUGAGCUGAGCAAUUCUGCUUGCUGCAUCAAAGCAGUUAUCUUUGGAUCAUCCUUCUUGAGAAAUGAGCCUUGAAACUUGUUAGUUUGUGCUGCUGAUAAAUGAAAGUUGUUUACAUUGUGGAUAUUCUGAAUCAACACAGUAAAUGGAGCUCUUAGCUGCUGAUUAGUCUUUCCACAUUGCCCAUGUCGUCUGUCACCAUAGUUGCAAUUUUCCGAGAGACUAGGGAUAUGGCUC